AUUGAACGCCGGCGGCAGGCCUAACACAUGCAAGUCGAGCGGAUGCAGGGAGCUUGCUCCUGGAUUCAGCGGCGGACGGGUGAGUAAUGCCUAGGAAUCUCCCUGGCUGUUUGGGAUAACGUCCGGAAACGGGCGCUAAUACCGCAUACGUCCUGAGGGAGAACGUGGGGGAUCUUCGGACCUCACGCUAUCAGAUGAGCCUAUGUCGGAGUAGCUAGUUGGUGGGGUAAAGGCCUACCAAGGCGACGAUCCGUAACUGGUCUGAGAGGAUGAUCAGUCACACUGGAGAUGAGAAACGGGCCAGAGCCCUAAGGGAGGGAGCAGGGGGGAAUAUUGGAAAAUGGGGGGAAGCCUGAUCCCACCAUAGCGGGUGGGUGAAAAAGGGCUUCGGGUUGUAAAGCCCUUUUAUGGGGGGAGAAAAGGAGGAAGGUAAUAACCCGCUGUUUUGACGGUAACCAAAGAAUAAGCAACGGCUAAAUUCGUG
rnacentral:rRNA from 1 species